UAUUCCAGAGUCUGGCGGUAUAGUAACUAAAGGCUGGCGGUAUAGUAACUAAAGGGUGCUUGUCUCUUCAGACAGGAACUGCUUUUUUAUUAUUGAUGGCUAUUGAAUGACCUCUGAAGGUACAGUUAAAAGGUAUCCCAAACAAUAAGGGGAUUUGCUGAACCUAUAUUGUACAGGAAAUAUUCAGUUAUAAUGAUUUUGUCUUAGUUAAGAUUAAAUUGUCAUCCAGUAAAUAUUGGUAUUGGAUUAAAAUGUUAAAAAUGUAAAUUUUAAUAAAUAAUAAAUUGUCUUCCAGUAAACUUUGAUUAAAAUGUCCAAUAUCCCUGUCCACUUGGAAAUUCUAUAAGAAUUAUGUGAAGGCCAAUUAGACAAUGGGCUGAUCGCAUUCUUUCAGGGGUUUUUAGUCUCUAAAUAUCCCCUAUUUCUAAUGAGUCCAUAAUAUUUUUGAUAAUUAGUUGGUAAUUAAUAUCAUCACACCUUUUGAGUUCCUUUGUCCAUGAAAGAAAUUUUUCACCAACCCAUUUAUUUUUCCAUGCAACUUCAUCUCAGGAUGUAGAUUAUGUUUCCUGUAAAUAAUAUAUGUUAUAUUCCUUUUCUUUCAGCCGCAUAAAGACUGAUCUUUUCCUAUAAUGUCUUAAACCGUUACAAUUCUAACCGGCUACACUUAUUGUAGCCUUUACUGUAACUAGACACUAUUCUCAGUCUAAAUGGACCAUAAUUAGUGCUUGUAAACUUACUGCCAUCAGAGGUAUUAUGAAGGUCAAAAAUAGAGAUUUCAAAUGUCUGAUGUUUAGAAUCCAAGAAACAGGUUCUAAUGACAUUUGUUUGGUUCUGUUUGCCUGUGAGCCAAUGCCACAGAUGUUAGAAAAUUUUGUCAAGAUAUUACGUGUGUAGUAGAUCUGUGUAGGUUGAUGUGUAUGAUCGUGGAUGUGAUUUAGUGAGUGUGUGUACGAUGUCUGGAUUAGAGGAAGACUACAAUGUGUGAUGUCUGAAAUAAAGAAUAACCCAGCCAGUUUGCAUGGUUGAGUGUCUGUGUGUGUACGAUGUCUGGAUUAGAGUAAGACUAUAAUGUGUGAUGUCUGAAAUAAAGAAUAACCCAGCCAGUUUGCAUGGUUGACUGUCUGUGUGUGUAAAAUG
ensembl:lncRNA